AGGCAAAAUGACCCGUGGUGCACGCUCACACCGUGGCUCUUAGAACAGGGGAGCCUGCAACCCUUGUAGCCUCUUCCUUUUUCUGCCUCCUGGAUGGACGUCCCUGAGCACGGCUGAGGGCGAGCCUGGCAUGCACAGGGCUCAGAAGGUUGGGGAGGCAGUGGGCCGGUGGAGCAUUCCUCAGUUCCUUCAAAGCGGAGGUGGCAGGGUCUGUGUGUGUUUGGGAUUUAACCGGGGUGAGGUCUGGCACCCUUAAGGCUUUGACUGCCCGUGGAAGAGGGAAAUAACUGUCCUCUAGGGUGAAUGGCCUCGGCCUCUUACCUUAGAUGGACCAACAAAGACGAAGUGAAGUACUUGCUUAGAUGCCAAUUCAUUGGAGUGGAUGCGACCCACGGGGGCGACCUGCAUAACACUGCGAUAUAGGACGGUCCUGGGUUUGCUAUGUGCUGUCCAGGAUUAGCACUGUGCAUCUCCCCGUUGGAGUGUGAAGAGGGAGAGCCUGGAAUGUAAGAGGGGGAAUAGAGCUGACACUCUUCCUCAGAGUAUGAUGCUACUGGGAUCCAGAAGGGAGAGAGAAAGGACAUGAAUAAAUUUCCUGCGAAGCAUCCUGAGGAAGUGCUUGAGAGCAAAUAAUAAUCGAGUCCAAAAUGUUAACGUGAGGAACCUGGGGAAAAGGCUAACAGGAAUGGUUCAGCAGCCAAGAACAUUUGUUGCUCUAGCAGAGGACGUGAGUUCAGUUCCUAGCACCUACUUUGUGCCUCACAGUCAUCCAUAACUCUGGAGCGAAGGACCUGACACCUUCUUCUUCACUCUGGAGACACCAUGCAUGCACAUAUAUGUACAGGUAAAAUACUCAGACACACAAAA